rnacentral:pre_miRNA from 1 species
GACAGGCAGUGGAACAAAAGAGGGCCUAAGAGCGGUGAACAUGGGAACAUGAGAGAAGGCUAAAGACCUCAAUUCCUCACUAACACUGGAAGAUGCUUUGUUUUGAGUUUUCCUAUUGCCUCCCAUGCCUAUUGUUCUUUGGUGCUCCUUCCUAUUCCUUUUGGAU